rfam:Gossypium raimondii Chr12_contig_524, whole genome shotgun sequence.
AUCCCAUGAUGAGGACACGUAUGAAGUAAUUCCUUUAAUCUUUCCCAUGCCUCUAACAAAGAUUCUUCAUCUAAUUGUUGGAAAGUUGUUAACUCACUACGCAACUU